GACGAACGCUGGCGGCGUGCCUAAUACAUGCAAGUCGAGCGGACGGAUGGGAGCUUGCUCCCAGACCGUCAGCGGCGGACGGGUGAGUAGCACGUGGGCAACCUGCCUGUAAGACUGGGAUAACUCCGGGAAACCGGGGCUAAUACCGGAUAACUCUUUCCCUCACAUGAGGGAAAGCUGAAAGAUGGCAUCUCGCUAUCACUUACAGAUGGGCCCGCGGCGCAUUAGCUAGUUGGUGAGGUAACGGCUCACCAAGGCGACGAUGCGUAGCCGACCUGAGAGGGUGAUCGGCCACACUGGGACUGAGACACGGCCCAGACUCCUACGGGAGGCAGCAGUAGGGAAUCUUCCGCAAUGGACGAAAGUCUGACGGAGCAACGCCGCGUGAGUGAUGAAGGUUUUCGGAUCGUAAAACUCUGUUGUCAGGGAAGAACAAGUACCGGAGUAACUGCCGGUACCUUGACGGUACCUGACCAGAAAGCCACGGCUAACUACGUG
rnacentral:rRNA from 1 species